UACGGGGGGGGCAAGCGUUGUUCGGAAUUACUGGGCGUAAAGGGCUCGUAGGUGGCCAACUAAGUCAGACGUGAAAUCCCUCGGCUUAACCGGGGAACUGCGUCUGAUACUGGAUGGCUUGAGUUCGGGAGAGGGAUGCGGAAUUCCAGGUGUAGCGGUGAAAUGCGCAGAUAUCAGGAGGAACACCGGUGGCGAAGGCGGGUCUCUGGGCCGUAACUGACGCUGAGGAGCGAAAGCGUGGGGAGCGAACAGG
rnacentral:rRNA from 1 species